UAUCUCUGUAGAGUCUGCAUAUCAAUAAGCGGAGGAAAAGAAACUAACUAGGAUUCCCUCAGUAACGGCGAGUGAAGCGGGAAGAGCUCAAAUUUGAAAUCUUCAAGGUUUUACCUUGACGAAUUGUAGUUUAAAGAAGUGUUUUCUGUUGGAGUUUUGGUAAAAGUUCUUUGGAAUAGGACAUCAUAGAGGGUGAGAAUCCCGUAUUUGACCAUUAUUUCCAGCUUUGUGAUACACUUUCAAAGAGUCGGAUUGUUUGGGAAUGCAGUCCAAAAUGGGUGGUAAAUUUCAUCUAAAGCUAAAUGUUGGCGAGAGACCGAUAGCGAACAAGUACCGUGAGGGAAAGAUGAAAAGAACUUUGAAAAGAGAGUUAAACAGUACGUGAAAUUGUCAAAAGGGAAGCGUUUGACACCAGUGUUGUUUCUACGAAAAUCAAUUUAUGAUGGCUUGAUGCUAAGCUUUAAGACUUUAUCCGCUUGUUGUUUAGUUUUCUUGUCUUUGUGAAUGCACUUUUCGUGGAACAAGUCAACAUCAAUUUCUUUUGCUGUAAAAGGGUAAGAGGAAGGUGGCUUCGGCUUCGGUUGAAGUGUUUAUAGCCUUUUAUCUCUGCAGUCGGAGAGAUUGAGGUCUGCAGCGUAGACUCCUUCGGGGUUAGAUACAGUUGGUGCUAAGUUAUAGCCUUUCAUAGACAACUUGUUGACUAUGAUCAGUCAUGUAGCUUACCCGCUUAGGCUAUUUUACCUACGCUUAGGAUGUUGAGUCAUCACACAUCUCU
rnacentral:rRNA from 1 species